CAUAAAGAUGAUUCUGAUAUCCUGUUACGAUUUAAUGACGAUUGUUGCUCAUAUUUAUGUGUCAAGUUUUGUGAAGAAAUCAAGUUUUGGUGGCAUUAUAAAAAGACCCAAUAGUGAUUGGAUUGAUUCUAAGGGUUCAAUGGACUUUUAAAUGGCCUUCGAAGCGUCACGCUGCUGCAACCAAGAGCGAAAAUCAAUAUAAUUAUUGUCCCAG
rnacentral:lncRNA from 1 species